UCAGGUCCUCGUGGUGCAGCUGCUUUUCUCCGUGAAGUCCUCCAUCUGAAGAUCCAAGACUAGGGAAAGAUUGCAGCUCACACCUAACGACGGAGAUGACGGGAGCGCUGGGACUCCAGGAAAACUCCUAAGAUUUCCUAAAGACCUCCGUUUUCAGUCUGCGAUCGUCAAAAUCGUUUGGUGUGAGCCCAGCAUAAGAUGAUGCACAAGUUCUGGCAUCAUGCUUGGAGGAAACCAGGCACCGCUAAUCACCUGACCUAUACCAUCCCUACAGUGAGGCAUGGUGGUGGCAGCAUCAUUCUGUGGGGAUGUUUUUUAGCAGCAGGAACUGGGAGACUAGUCAGGAUAGAGGGAAAGAUGAAUGCAGCAAUGUACAAAGACAUCCUGGAUGAAAACCUUCUCCAGAGUGCUCUUGAUCUCAGACCGGGGUGACGAUUCAUCUAUCAGCAGGACAACAACCCUAAGCACACAGCCAAGAUAUUGAAGGAGUGGCUUAAGAACAACUAUGUGAAUGUCCUUGAGUGGCCCAGCCAGAAGCCAGACUUGAAUCCAAUUGAACAUUGAACAUCUCUGCCAACAAAGACAAUGGUGCAGUUCUACACAGCCAUCAUUGAGUCCAUCCUCACUUCUUCCAUCACCGUGUGGUACGCUGGAGCCACCACCAGGGACGU